GGAAGUUCAAAUGGUGGUAUUGCAGCUGUUUUCGAUGAGAUUCCUUAUGUGAAGCUUUUCCUUGCAAAUUAUUGCUUGAAAUUCACCACGAUUGGACCUACGUAUAAGACUGAUGGCUUUGGAUUUGCCUUCCCGAUAGGAUCACCUCUAGUACCAGAUGUAUCGAGGGCAGUCUUGAAUGUGACUGAAGGUGAAAAGAUGGUACAAAUUGAGAGAGCAUGGUUUGGUGAAUCUACUUGUUC
rnacentral:misc_RNA from 1 species